rnacentral:rRNA from 1 species
GACGAACGCUGGCGGCGUGCUUAACACAUGCAAGUCGAACGGAAAGGCCCUGCUUUUGUGGGGUGCUCGAGUGGCGAACGGGUGAGUAACACGUGAGUAACCUGCCCUUGACUUUGGGAUAACUUCAGGAAACUGGGGCUAAUACCGGAUAGGAGCUCCUGCUGCAUGGUGGGGGUUGGAAAGUUUCGGCGGUUGGGGAUGGACUCGCGGCUUAUCAGCUUGUUGGUGGGGUAGUGGCUUACCAAGGCUUUGACGGGUAGCCGGCCUGAGAGGGUGACCGGCACAAUGGGGCCGAGAUUACGGCCAGGACUCCUACGGAGGCAGCAGUGGGGAAUAUUGCACAAUGGGCGGAAGCCUGAUGCAGCAACGCCGCGUGCGGGAUGACGGCCUUCGGGUUGUAAACCGCUUUCGCCUGUGACGAAGCGUGAGUGACGGUAAUGGGUAAAGAAGCACCGGCUAACUACGUG